rnacentral:lncRNA from 1 species
AAAGCUGGCCACCCGGGCCAGCAGCAGCAACCUGCUCAGGUCCCCUUCCAUGGUGUGGAAGCUUUGUUCUUUCGCUGUUCACAAUGAAUCUUGCUGCUGCUCACUCUUUGGGUCCGCACUAGCUUUAUGAGCUGUAACGCUCACUGCGAAGGUCUGUGGCUUCACUCCUGAAGUCAGCAAGACCACGAACCCACCGGAAGGAGGAAACAACUCCGGAAGCACCACGUUUAAGAGCUGUAACACUCACUGCGAAAGUCUGCAGCUUCACUCCUGAAGUCAGCAAGACCACAAACCCACCGGAAGGAAGAAAUUCCAGACACAUCUAAACAUUGGAAGGAACAAACUCCAGACACACUAUCUUUAAGAACUGUAACACUCACCGCGAGGGUCUGUGGCUUCAUGCUUGAAGUCAGCCGGACCAAGAACCCACCGGAAAGAACCAAUUCCUGACACAAUCAGACAGAGAAUGCUGAUUCACUAUGCAGUGAAACAUGCCUAACGUGUCAACAGCUAAAUGCCCGGUGACAGUGUGGUUGUCUGGGCAACAGAAGAAGUCACCCACGCAAACACUUAAAGGACCAUACUUAUUUUACAAGAGGAACAGUUUUCAAUGGAAUGGAUAUUAAAACACACACCUGGAUCCCUUUACCACAGGUGCUUUGAGAGGCACCAUCAAGGACAGUGAGCUAACGCAGGAGAAUGGAGUCCCAGAAACCUAGGAGGAGAAGACAAAGUGUCAGCCUCUCGGCAUCUGCAGUGUUGCUAGGAAAAGAGCUCUGAUCCCAGGGGCUUACCCACUUCCACAGGAUCAUCCUCUGCAUAUGAAGGAACAGACAAGCCCUCAGCUCUACCACUUUGGAGAGGGGGGGAUUGGACAGCAUGAGCCUUCAAUUGUAUCUCUUGGAUGACCAAGGAAGGCUGGAUUUCUGCACCUAAAAAAUGGAAGCACAAACUGUACAACAAAUACUCUCCAUUCAAGUUGAAGUUCUCAAAUAAGGUAUCCAAUUAACCAAUGUAUUAAUAACAUUGAAAAUAAUAAUCUCAUAGGAAGAUUCCAAAAAUUUCUGGUUUUAUAUCUAGCAAAAACUUCAUGCACUAUGUUUGAUUUGUAUGUAGAACUCAGGGUGAACAUGCCAGUGACAGUGGCAAUGAGAGGGGUAACUGGGGGCCAGAAGCAGGCUGAGGGAGAGGAGAGGAGGGGGCAGAGUGUGCUCAGGGAACCAUGAGCCAUGCAGGAUAAGCAAUAGGGCAGAAUAAACAGGACAUACCCAUCUGUUUAUUCUCUCUGUAUAAUGUUUUGAUUCUCUUUGUACCCUAACUAACCAAGGCACAGCUCAGGAAGUUGCUGCCAGGAUUAGAAAAAGGGAGUUGCACAUUCUCAAAAAGCAAUGGUACAGUGCAAAGAAUGGUAAUUAAUCCCCCAGCACACUUGACCCAGCCCCUAAAGAACUUUGUGACCUUGGGCCAGGCAGGCAGCUCCCAGGCUUCUGUUUUGUCAUUUUUGACCUCUUCUGGCUGCAGUGAUUCAUUUCCAGAUAUAGGUUGCUUCAGCUCAUCUCAAAGUCUUCUUGUAGCCUGUUCUUUGAGAAAUGGUAAUAUAUCUCUUGAAAAGUUUCUUUUUCUUGCAAAGUCACCCAAUUCAUGAGUUAAUGAGGUCCCACCAGUGAUACGAUUGCAGAGUCACAAAUAUCACUAACUGAAAGGAGUAGAAGGAAGGCGGGAAUUGCAGACACACCAUGAGUGGGUGGCCUCCAGGAGAUACACGUGAGACCAGCCCUGUGGUGGGCCAGGUCAGAAGGACUUCUGCUUAGACUAGGUGGAAACUUCUCAGCAUUCUGAGGAGUACCACCAUCUGACUGGCAGUUUGAAGGUAUCACUUGGGCUGCUGUAUCAAGAAUAGACUUCAGAAGACAAGUUGAACGUAGCAAGACCAGUGAGAAAGGUGUCAUAGCCGUCCAAGUGCAGGGUGGCAGUGGAGAUAGGAGUUAUAUUAAGGAGAGAGUCACCAGGAUUUGCUGAUGGGUUAGGUGUGGGCUGUGGAAGAAAGAUCAAAGUCAAGAAUGACUCCAAUGACAUUGUCCUAAGCAAUUGGAAUGAUGAAAUCACAGUUGUUGAGAUGGGGAACCUGCACAUGGAGUGAGUCUGGAGGAGAGAUUAGUUGUUUGGCUUUGGCCAUGCUGAGUUUCAGAUGUGUUUCGACACACAUGUGGAGGGGUUACGCUUGAAUGUCUGAGUCUGACUUUUGUAUUGAGAUGUUCCUAUCCUACUUCUUCCUACCUCCACCCUGCAAAGGAUGGCCAUGGUUAUCUUCAGUGCCCCCACAAAGCUCUGUGCAGAUUCCUGGUAUGUCACAUUUAUUUCAAAUGGCUUUACUGAGAUGUAAUUGAUAUAUAGUUCACCCAUUUAAAUUGGACAAUUGAAUGGUUUUUAGUAUAUUCACAGAGUUUUGAUCAUGUGUAACAUGGUCUAUUUUUAGAAUAUUUUUGUCACCCCUUCCCCUCUAAAAAACCUCAUAGCCAUUAGGAAACAUUCUCCAUUUCCUAGCAUGGUAUUUUAAAAUAGUGACAAUUCCUAUUUUCAAGUCUGUCAGUAAGCCUCUUAAUGGUAGGGACUUCCGUGUUAUUUGUUUUUGCAUUUCACCCUGUAACAAUUACUCAAAAAAGCUGUUGUAUGAAUGAACUACAGUUUGAAAAAUACGACCCCAAGACUGUGUGUCUUUAAGAGAGAACCAACCCUUUGCAUUCCGGUGCUCUUCGUAUGGCUGCCUGUAGCAUUUUUCAGAUCUAGUUGAGAAACCGAUGGGAGGAUAUGGAGAUAAGUCUCAUUACUCUUUUCUUUCUUGGCUAUACUUCUCUAGCAUCUGUUGUAAACAAAACAGAAAAGAGUCUUUCUAAACCUGGUGAAAAUAUCUCAAAUGCAAGGAAGCCAGUGAUGAAAAAUGCAAUAUCAAAGUUCGGGCUGUUACAAACACAUGGCAUAAAUCACAUCUGCUCAUUAAACUUAUUACAAAGAAUGAUAACAAAAGCAAAGAGAUGUCUGAAAAUGUCUUGGGAAAAAUAAAGUAGCUAAUAAAUUCGUGGUUUUACUGUUUUAUGUCAUAAGGAUGGAUAUAAUUUCAUUUGGGACAAAUGUUUCUGGACUCAGACUACAGACUACAGAUUUGGAGCUGAAGGCCACUACCAAGGCAAUCUCCUCUAACAUCUUCAUUUCAGAGCUGAUGAGCUAGAUAGUCAUGCCCUGUGACCUCUCAGCUGGUUAUGGCAGAGCUCGCCCAAGAGCAAGGGGCGUAAUAUAUUAAUUAGUUUAAACUGAUAUGCGUUAUGUACUAACAGGGUCUGGGCAGACCAGUAGCAUCUAAAUAUUAUUCUAAGAGUCAGAAGCUUUUUUUCCAAUAAAGCCUUAUGCUGAAAACAAUAAUUAUGGCAGAAUCCUUCUGAUGGAGCCUGGGGGGUGGACUGCUUUUUCCCUCUGCUGCUGCAGCCCUGACGUGGUUUAGUGUGUCCUGGGACUAUCCCUUUGACAUCCCUCCUCUGUAUUCUUCUGAAAUACAGGACCCAUCCACUGCAUAUAGUCACAAGUUUACUUGCUUCUCUUCCCUCCUAAACUGUGGAAUCUCUCAACAUAAUGAUUGUGUCUUACACAAAACUGCAUAUCUCAGUUUCUGAACUCAGGAAAUAUUAACUUUGUUCUUUGACUUGCCAGGUUCUUUUCAAGGUGUUGGUGACACAGAUAUGAGGAAAACAGAGUUGACUCAUGGUGAUGGAGCUUACAUUCUAUGGGGCAAGAGUGAGCAGAGG